UAGGGAAUUGUUCGCAAUGGGCGCAAGCCUGACGACGCAACGCCGCGUGGAGGAUGAAGACCUUCGGGUCGUAAACUCCUUUCGACCGAGAUGAAUUCCUGCCGGCCUAAUACGCUGGCAGGUUGACAGUAUCGAGGGAAGAAGCCCCGGCUAACUCCGUGCCAGCAGCCGCGGUAAUACGGGGGGGGCAAGCGUUGUUCGGAAUUACUGGGCGUAAAGGGUUCGUAGGUGGCCAACUAAGUCAGACGUGAAAUCCCUCAGCUUAACUGGGGAACUGCGUCUGAUACUGGUCGGCUUGAGUGCAGGAGAGGAACGCGGAAUUCCAGGUGUAGCGGUGAAAUGCGUAGAUAUCUGGAGGAACACCGGUGGCGAAGGCGGCGUUCUGGACUGCAACUGACACUGAGGAACGAAAGCCAGGGGAGCAAACGGGAUUAGAUACCCCUGUAGUCC
rnacentral:rRNA from 1 species